rnacentral:rRNA from 1 species
UACGGGGGGGGCAAGCGUUGUUCGGAAUUACUGGGCGUAAGGGGCUGGUAGGCGGCCAACUAAGUCGGAUGUGAAAUCCCCAGGCUUAACCUGGGAACUGCAUCCGAUACUGGUCGGCUUGAAUCCGGGAGAGGGAUGCAGAAUUCCAGGUGUAGCGGUGAAAUGCGUAGAUAUCUGGAGGAAUACCGGUGGCGAAGGCGGCAUCUUGGACCGGCAUUGACGCUGAACAGCGAAAGCUAGGGGAGCAAACGGG